rnacentral:rRNA from 1 species
AUUGAACGCUGGCGGCAGGCCUAACACAUGCAAGUCGAACGAGUGGCGGACGGGUGAGUAAUGUCUGGGAAACUGCCUGAUGGAGGGGGAUAACUACUGGAAACGGUAGCUAAUACCGCAUACCAUCGGAUGUGCCCAGAUGGGAGUAGCUAGUAGGUGGGGUAAAGGCUAACCUAGGCGACGAUCCCUAGAUGGUCUGAGAGGAUGACCUGCACCACUGGACCGGCGACACGGGCCAGCCUCCUCCGGGAGGCGUCAGUGGGGAAUAUUGCACAAGGGGCGCAGUCCUAAUGCAGCCAUGCCGCGUGUAUGAAGAAGUCUUUCGGGUUUUAAAGUACUUUCGGCGGGGAGGCGUUACCCGCAGAAGAAGCACCGGCUAACUCCGUGCCAGCAGCCGCGGUAAUUC